rnacentral:tRNA from 1 species
ACAUUGGUGGUUCAAUGGUAGAAUUCUCACCUCCCAUGUGAAAAACACGGCUUCGAGUCCCAGCCAGUGCA